AUAAACCUAACCAGUCUUUCCUGAAGGUUCCUGAAACAAAGGCCCUCCAUUUGGAACCGGUUCCAAAGGCCUUGCCUUACAUUGGACUUUAACAACAUAAUCUUGGUUCAUUAGAACAAGAUUUCCCUUUGAUAACCAAAAUGUGUGAGUGUCUCAGAGAGGGAGCCACACAGAGAAUAAGGGGUCAACCGUUUAAGUUUCAGAACUGAGCUGCUUAAGAGUUUUUGUUUUGCAGUUGGGAUCCCUGAGGAUGAACCUGGUGUUUUUGUAUUGAUUGCCUUCUGCACUAAUGUAGUUAGGGAGGAGAGAGAGUUUUUGCAGAAUGUGGGAUUGAGCAGAGGGAGAACGUAUUAGACUGGCUGUGUUUCCUCGCCUCUGGGUGUGGUUUGCUCCUUGAAGGUUAGAGCCAAGGGGAUUCUUUAUCAUCCAACAUUUUCAUUUAGGGCAAUCAGACACCACAGUUUGCAGUCUUCAGCUUUAGGGAAUCUCAGACUUCAAUAAAGAGGAUGGUAUUUUAUUAUCUCCUCGGGUUGUUUUAGGAACUUUGAAAAAAUCACACAAAUGCUUCUACUGACUGGAUGACUAUAACAGGGCAGAACAAACCACUCGAGUCUAGUUUCACUUAGGAAACCAAUUUUCAUUGUUGAAGACACUUGUAGCAAGGGUACUACUACAGAUCUGGAGGCUGUGAGGAUCAGAUGCAUGCGACAGGGAAACUGCAAUACAAGAGACAAAUGUAAGGCAUGUGGCUAUCCACUUUCAUCUAGGGAGUAAGACGCAUGUCGGUAAAAGAAAUGAAGACGCUGUCCUGAAUGAGCAAUCUUCGAGGUGAUUUGUACAACAGCCAGGCCUAGGUCACUAGAAGAGUCAGUCAGAGGGCUGUUAGGACCUAAGCUUAAGGACUAAUGUUCCCAUCACAAAUGUGGACCCUACCCUUUAUCCUUAGAGCAGAGGGGAACAUCAUUGUGGUUUCUCAGAAGUGAGCUUUUCAUUCUUAGGCCUGUGGCAGGUUGGUAGUCCUCACCUCACUUGAACACUGACUGGAGCAUCUGGGCUCUCGUCCCUGAUUUACCUGGAGUAGUCCAGUGUCAGUCCAUUCAGUGAGCCCUAAAAUGGCCAACACAUCUUCUUUGCCCAGGGGCUG
rnacentral:lncRNA from 1 species